UACAGAGGGUGCAAGCGUUAUUCGGAAUCACUGGGCGUAAAGCGCAUGUAGGUGGGAAAUAAAGUCAGGUGUGAAAUCCCGGAGCUCAACUCCGGAACUGCAUUUGAAACUAAUUUUCUUGAGUCUGGGAGAGGAAAGUGGAAUUCCUGGUGUAGAGGUGAAAUUCGUAGAUAUCAGGAGGAACAUCGGAGGCGAAGGCGGCUUUCUGGACCAGUACUGACACUGAGAUGCGAAAGCGUGGGGAGCAAACAGG
rnacentral:rRNA from 1 species